UACGAAGGGGGCUAGCGUUGUUCGGAAUUACUGGGCGUAAAGCGCGCGCAGGCGGCCUUUCAAGUCAGGGGUGAAAGCCCGGAGCUCAACUCCGGAAUUGCCUUUGAAACUGUCAGGCUCGAGUACGGGAGAGGUGAGUGGAAUUCCCAGUGUAGAGGUGAAAUUCGUAGAUAUUCGGAAGAACACCAGUGGCGAAGGCGACUUACUGGACACAUAUUGACGCUGAGGUGCGAAAGCGUGGGGAGCAAACAGG
rnacentral:rRNA from 1 species